UAUUUUGGUGAGGACAACUCGCCGGUAACCUCUUGUACCUCUCCCAGUAUUCAUAAAAAGAUUCUCCAGUGAUCUGUAGAAUACCGGUAAUCUCUUUACGAGCA